rnacentral:lncRNA from 13 species
UGCAUGUAUUGCUACUGCUGGCACCUCGUUUCCAAGUGAUAGAAACCUCAAUGCACAGGAGAGAAAGGAGCUGUGACAGCCUCCACCAGGUCCCUGCAUGAAUCACCAGGACAACAUGAUCCUGGACCACUCCAGGGGCACACGUUCCAGAGAGCACGAGCAAAGUCAGAGUUCAGCAGCCGCUUCCUGAAUCUGAGCAGAAUCCUCCUGGUGUCCGACUCUUUUCAGCUCCUCAAGGUGCUGAAAGGAGCUGAUUGGGGUGUAAUGGCAGGAUCACAGCCUGUGGGGAGCUGUUUGCCAGGGGAAUGGUACAGGCUCUUUUCCAGCAGGUGGUUUUCCAUGACCGUGGGGAAUCAGAUGAGAAGGUGUCUAUAUGUUUCCUAGCUCCUGGUACACAGCUCAAGCAUGAGAAACAUUGUUCCGAGGCAGCAGAUGAAUGGAUCACUAUGAAAGAUGUGGCAUCUCAGACUUGCCAGUGUGUUAGAGAGGAACUACACAAGGAGAAGGAUUUGCUCAAAGUAAUGGACUCAAAGCCAGACGUAACCUGUGUGCUUCACUCCAACUCAGGAGGGGAUGUCUCAGGAAAAGGAGGCCAUGUGUAGAAUUACAGCAGGCAGCUGACCAGCACUGUGGGGUUUUAACUGCUGAGAAAUUUCCCACUGAAGAAUGAAUUCAUGAAGGACUGGUAAGUGCAUGCUGCACAGGGAAUUAUACAAGCCUUUUUCGAAGUCAACAUCAGGAGCAAGACUGUAUUCUCUAAAUUUACUUUAUAGCUGGUUGCCGUUUCACAGCACUGCUUGUAACACUGCAAGUUCUAAGUUUGCAUGGGAUUCUUUCAAGCAGUGAGCUGUUAUUCAUAAUGAAAGUUAUAAAUUCCUUUAAAGAUAUCCUGACUUUAAGAACAAGCUCAGUUGCUGCCUUUUAAGAAAAUAACUCCAGGAAGCUCCAUACAUCAAACGUAUGAGACCUAUGAGACCUUUGCAGUUAAAAUAUUGGUAUUUUAUACAUAUAAAUGCACACAUACUUUUGAUGAGUUUUCUAGAUUUCUACAGAAUUUGAGCAGCAAAGUUAGCUCCUGAUUCCUCUUACUGCCAGUAUCAUCCACAGAGGAGUGUGAGAAAGCAAAAAAAAAGAAAAAAAAUUUAAAAGAUCCCUCAGAGUUGAGAGCAAUUGAAUUUUCUAGAGACACUUGUACAGUUUGGACUUACUGAAGCUGUACAUGACUGAAGUUCACUCCUUUAAAAGAGGGGAAAGCUCUCCCUGCCAAGGAGCGAUGUGUGUCCACCAGCCCUGGGCAGGUACAGCCCAGCUCAGGAGCUGCUCAGCCUCCCUGGGGCUCACGGGUGAGCAGGUGGCUCUGGCUGUGCUGAUGUACCAGAGACAUCACAGCGUGUCCUGGUUUGCCAAGCUGUGGCAGAGGCUUUUGGUCAGAUGUGCAGUAUCUGCAGUUAUAAAAAGACAGGCUUAGGAAGGUCUGUCUGGGUAAUGAUGACAACCAGUUUGUCCUCUUUCAAACACCAGCAACUUUUUCUUUCUGUUUUACAUCUGAAGUUGUUUAAUUUUUUAGAAGUUUAGUGCUUUUAUUUUCUGGCAUAAGACCCUCAAGCUCAUUAGCAUUGCCCUAUUGAGGGAGGUGGAAGGGAAAGGAGACUUUUUGUUGUCCAAUUUUUGCUGGCUCCUUCACUCAAUCCUCCCUGUGGUGUUG